GAUGAACGCUGGCGGCGUGCCUAAUACAUGCAAGUCGAGCGAACGGACGAGAAGCUUGCUUCUCUGAUGUUAGCGGCGGACGGGUGAGUAACACGUGGAUAACCUACCUAUAAGACUGGGAUAACUUCGGGAAACCGUAGCUAAUACCGGAUAAUAUUUUGAACCGCAUGGUUCAAAAGUGAAAGACGGUCUUGCUGUCACUUAUAGAUGGAUCCGCGCUGCAUUAGCUAGUUGGUAAGGUAACGGCUUACCAAGGCAACGAUGCAUAGCCGACCUGAGAGGGUGAUCGGCCACACUGGAACUGAGACACGGUCAAGACUCCUACGGGAGGCAGCAGUAGGGAAUCUUCCGCAAUGGGCGAAAGCAUGACGGAGCAACGCCGCGUGAGUGAUGAAGGUCUUCGGAUCGUAAAACUCUGUUAUUAGGGAAGAACAUAUGUGUAAGUAACUGUGCACAUCUUGACGGUACCUAAUCAGAAAGCCACGGCUAACUACGUG
rnacentral:rRNA from 1 species